UAUCUUGCAGCGAAUAGUUGACGUAGAUUUUCUAACAGUGUACAGUAUGAACUGAAAUACAUUCAAUAAAGUAAGCACAACCGUUUUCGAAAACCACCACUUUGAAGGCAAAAAAAGAAAAAAAAAAUAGAAGCGAAAAGCUUUAACAUACAAAAAUUGACUAUGUAAAGCCGAAUCAUGUACAAAAAAUAUAUGUUCAUCAAAGAGAGAAAAUUUUUCAGUCAAAAUAUUUAGUAAAUGAUUCUACUGUAUAUUUCAAAUAAACAUUACUCAUGAAACGAUUUCUUAUUAUAUACCGUGUUUAAAUCCGAUUACCGCCUUAUUUACUCGGUUUGAAACAUGAAUAUAUCUAUUUACCUCUCUUAAUCGCUGUAAAUUGCAUGGAAUUAGAUUAAGGCCAGUAUACUCGUUUAAAAUUUAAGGCUAUAAUGACUACAUAACACCAAGUUCACAAAUGCAUGUACACGCCUG